AGCGUAGGCGGGGAGACAAGUUGAAUGUCUAAACUAUCGGCUUAACUGAUAGUCGCGUUCAAAACUAUCACUCUUGAGUGCAGUAGAGGUAGGCGGAAUUCCUAGUGUAGCGGUGAAAUGCGUAGAUAUUAGGAGGAACACCAGUGGCGAAGGCGGCCUACUGGGCUGUAACUGACGCUGAGGCUCGAAAGCGUGGGUAGCAAACA
rnacentral:rRNA from 1 species